rnacentral:rRNA from 1 species
GACAGAGGUGCCGAGCGUUAGGCGGAAUCACUGGGCUUAAAGCGUGUGUAGGCGGAUCUGUAAGUACCUUGUGAAAUCCCACGGCUCAACCGUGGAACUGCUUGGUAUACUGCGGGUCUUGAGCCACCUAGGGGCAAGUGGAACAAGCGGUGGAGCGGUGAAAUGCGUAGAUAUCGGGAGGAACACCAGUGGCGAAGGCGACUACCUGGCCUGUUCUUGACGCUGAGGCGCGAAAGCUAGGGGAGCAAACGGG